rnacentral:rRNA from 1 species
AACGAACGCUGGCGGCAGGCUUAACACAUGCAAGUCGAGCGCCCCGCAAGGGGAGCGGCAGACGGGUGAGUAACGCGUGGGAAUCUACCCAUCUCUACGGAAUAACGCAUGGAAACGUGUGCUAAUACCGUAUACGUCCUUCGGGCGAAAGAUUUAUCGGAGAUGGAUGAGCCCGCGUUGGAUUAGCUAGUUGGUGGGGUAAAGGCCUACCAAGGCGACGAUCCAUAGCUGGUCUGAGAGGAUGAUCAGCCACACUGGGACUGAGACACGGCCCAGACCCCUACGGGAGGCAGCAGUGGGGAAUAUUGGACAAUGGGCGCAAGCCUGAUCCAGCCAUGCCGCGUGAGUGAUGAAGGCCCUAGGGUUGUAAAGCUCUUUCACCGGUGAAGAUAAUGACGGUAACCGGAGAAGAAGCCCCGGCUAACUUCGUGCCAGCCGCCGCCGUAAGAC